UUUUUUUUGGAUUGGAUUUUGGAUUGGAAUAUUGUAAUUAUUAGCUGUUUUAAUGUUUUCUGAGGCUGAACGUUGCCGAAAUUGACGUUAAUUGGCGUCGGGUUGAGCGUCAGAUAACGGACCAAUUUAACCAUCUUGAGGCGGUGUUUCUGACUGAAAACGGGACUUUAAUAUGCAUUAUUUGCCUCAAAUAUUGCAAUUUUUAACUGUUUUAAUGUUUUCUGAGACUGAACUUUGCCGAAAUUGACGUUAAUUGGCGUCGGGUUGAGCGUCAGAUAACGGACCAAUUUAACCAUCUCGAGGCGGUGUUUCUGACUGAAAACGGGACUUUAAUAUGCAUUAUGCAAUUUUCAACUGUUUUAAUGUUUUCUGAGACUGAACUUUGUGUUGGUGACUUCUAUGACUGGAGUUUCCUGGUCAGUGAACCUAUUUUUUCUUUCUUUUAUUUCAAAAAUGACAAAGCCAAAGUCGAGCGGUGUUUGCCCCAUUUGUGGCAAGACGCUGCAAUUGGUGGCUAAACAUCUGCCAGAAAUACACGGGGUGAGCAACGCCACAGAAAGGGCCAUCUUAAAUAAUUUGGCUACCGGCCGAACCGUCAUCCCCCCCGGCCCCUGCCCUGUUACAGGGUGUUUGCCCCACAUAUUGAACUUGGACAAGCACUUAAAGGGCCACAAGGACCUGACACAGGCGGGGGUUGAGAGGCAGUGGGCCCGCGCAAAGCGCGACGUGGCCAUGGCUGCACUGGAAAGGCUGUGGGCCAGCAACCCGCAGCCACCAAUGGUUAGCCGCCGACCCAGGGGAGGGCUCCUCCAGGUCCCAGCCCCAGGAAUGCCGUAGCUGCAGGGACUUUGGCAAAAAAGCUGGAGGCCCAGGUCGCAGUCCUGGAGGCUCGGGUUCACCGCUACAAAAGAAAGCUAAAGGCUUUGCGCCGGCCACCCCCAUCUUCCUCCUCCUCCUCCUCGGUGGAGGAGCCCAGACGCCACCGGCAGCAGCAGCUGGGGCUGCGGCUGCCCCCAGCAGCCGCAGCCAACUUCCUCCUCCUCCGCCUCCUCUUCCUCAGAGGAGGAGCCCACAUGCCCCCAGCAGCCACAGCCCCAGCCGCAGCCAACUUCCUCCUCCUCCUCGGUGGAGGAGCCCACACGCCCCCAGCAGCCGCAGCCGCAGCAGCAGCGCCAGAGAAAGUCUGCCAAGAGGAGGCUGACUUUCGCUGAGGAGACCCACAGUGCUGAGGCCCCCCCAAAAAAGAAAGCCAAGACGAAACACAUCUCCUCUCCCGAGGAAGAUUUGUUGAAAAAACUGUAGUGUGUGUGUUGGUAUAAAAUAAUAAUAAAAAAAUGUUCACAGGAGUAAUAUAGUAGUAGUAGUAGUAUAAGUAUAUAAAA